AGUUCUAUAAAUACAUGAUAGGAAAGAAAAUGAAUCAGAACAGAUCCUUUGACCAAGAGAUUUCUAAAGCCCUGGAGAAGUUAUCAGGUGAAUUAACGGCCUGCAUCUUAAUGGUGACUUGAAUUGUGAUUGGACACCCUUAGAGCAUUUUCAGCUAGGGAGAGCUCAAAAUAUUUCUCCCGUAAAAACUUCCUAGAGUUCCCACGCACGGGCGUUUUUAUCCUUUCUCGGGCUGAACCAGUGUCUUUGUUUUGCUUCUGUUCUUAUUCCUGGUGACAUGACAGCAGAUGACUCCAAGUAAAAACAGAAGAAGGUAGCGGGGUCAGUCAGCCACCGUUCCCUCUACCACGCUUGUCUCCUGAACCAACGGAACAGGGGUACAGGGCACUUGCAACCAAGGCUGCCCUGUUCCAAGCAGAAGUGAGUGAUCUGACUGGGGAUCAAAGAUAAGCAUGUGUCCAUCAAAUAGAGUGAAUAAUAAGAAUGGUAAUCUAUUAAAAUUGCUAGAAGGACAAAAGCUUUGAAAGCCCUAAAAAGAGGCACCGAUUUUUAAUUCUGAGAAUUCCAGAGGGCGGCUUGUUCAGGCAGUUCGUUCACACAUCCAUGCUCCAGCCAGGCUGGAGGUGAGGCAGGGUGUGAUUCCCACUCCAGAGCUUCUGGGAUACACUCGGUACGGUUGUAUGCCCAGCGGAAAUGGAAAUUAUGCGCUCUGGUAACCCUGAACGACAUCACAGCUAACUCAUUUGCAUUGAAAGUUGGGCAAGUUUGCCCCCAAGUAACAGAUAAACAUGUCUGCAUGGACUGUCAAACCUCACUGCCACAGAGUUAGUUAGGACCUGGGCAUCAUCUAACCAACCUUACUCAUGGGGCAGAAAGGGAAACUGAGAAUCAGAGACCCCAAGUGACUAGAAUCUGGCAAACUUGGUAGAGGAGCUAGAGCACACACACCCCUUUCUGCCCCCUCUACCCCUGAGCGUCGGUGGAAAUCAUCCUGUUAUCUUACUACAGACAGAAAGCAAUGAGGGAGACAAGAUGGAGAAAAAAAGAAAUUGAAACAGAGAAGGAAGGAUGGAAGAGAUAGGCAGCGACAGAAAUUGCAGGCGAGACUGUCUGCCUCGCCUGUCUUUAUCUUUCUCUCUAUCUGCCUCAUCUCAUUCUUUUCUGAAUCCUGUCUCUUUCUCCCACAGGCCGGCUCCUGAAAACAUAGUGUUAUUUCCUUUAUUCCAAAUGCCUUCAAAAGGAGCCUACAAAUGAGUAGAAUGUUGGUGGGGCUAUCCAAAAUGGUGGGAAGAAUUUUCCAGUACCUUUGCCCAUCCUCCACUACUGCUAAGGAGGAAGGAAGGUGCGGGUCAUUUAGACUCAUGAACUUUCAUAGAAACGGAAUUGUGGACUUGGCCACCCAAAUCUAAAGGGCCCACAUUUUAACAGGGUGCUCACCUGAUUUGGGUGCAGACAGCACAGCUGUGGCCAGUACUUGAGACAGUCCUUCUGGUGUGUGCCUCCUGCAAGCACACAUUGUCUUUCUGGCCCCCAAGAGGGAGACAGGUCAGAGACGUUAAAGAUUAAGAUUUACACAAGUCUUUUAAAUGCUAAGGAAUCCAUCGUGGGAUAUGCCUCGAAGUGGAUACAUUCAUUUUAAACAGUUCCUUCCCUGAGAACUGCUUUUGGUCUGUCUUCUUCAGGCCGGAUGUCAACUGUGACAAAUUCAUAGGAAUCCCUCUAAGAAGGUUGGUUCUACAAAUCCUAAAGGGAUGUAGCUUUUCCAUAGCUACUCCUGAAUCCAAGGCAUCAAGAGGGGUGGGAAAUUUAAAUAUUUUCAACUUGCCAGGUCCCAAGGCAAAGCAAAUCCACCUACAUGUUGUUGAAAUGAAGGAUUCAGUUAGUAAGAAGCAGAAAGACACCAAUGAGUUCCCCCUGCUUUACAGAGAUGAUCCUGCAGCCGAAGAGCCUAAUGAGCAGUCUGGUGGCAAAAAUCACAAUGCAAAACAAAUUAGCCGGGGAAUUUUCGAGAUGUCAGUUUCAAUGAGGGAGGAACAGACAAAGAAUAAAAAUCACCUCAUGUAAAAGAUUGCCAACUUUGAAGCUGCUCAGGGACUAUUGACUUAUAGCCUUAUUUUUCUCAAGUGCAGUGUCAUCCCAUGUGUCACAUUGACACAGUGAGGAUUUCUUGUGAAAUAAUCCCUUUGCCAACAUCAGGGAAUCGCCCUCCCCUUUGAUCUAGUCAGAUAUGAUCUUGAAAGUUGGCCUACUUACACACAGCUCCAGUGAGGCUGCUCCAAGGAAGACCUCGGAAACGGGGAGAGAACAGCACACACAACAGAGAACGGGUGCAGACUGAUGAGAACCAGGACCCAGUCAUAAAGACCUGGAUGUUUUGCCUCAUCAGAAGGAGUUUGGUGAACACGGAGAAUUAAAAUAGUUUAUGAACAUGGGACGAGACCUCUGGGAAGGAAAGCAAGGGUGAGAGGGAACAUUUUGGCUCACUGCUGUUUUUUAAAAAAUGUGUUUUCAAAACCAAUUACUACAAUAUACUGACUGAGCAGUCUAAGCUCAGGCCAAUCAACUGCACCGGCUUUCUUGGAACCCCUCAUUCUUGGGGUGGGGGAGGGGCAGACAGCUCUCUAUAGAACCCUCUUGAUAUAAGAAAGGAUUUCUUUUUUAAAGGACAUCUUUUAUUUUCCCAUCUGUUUCCUCUCACAGCACAGUUUGGGGUCAGAUCAGGUCUUCUGGCAUUCAGGAGAAUAAUGUGGCCCUUUCCUUCACUGACUGUGGGCAUCCUGACUGGAAAGGGCUUACUUUUGCCUCUUAUUUCACCACAGAGAGGCACAGAGUGAGGAGAGCACUCCUGAUGGCCUGUGUCUGAGAACCUGCCACACAUAAACAGGGUGAAUGAAUUUCGAAGGGCAAAAGAAAGAAAAAGAAACACCCCCAAAGGAGAGGGUGUUAAUUGAAUUUGGUUUCAAAAUUUGCAAAUUCCUGGAUCUGCUUAAGGCAAAUGAAGCAUUAACGGUGCAGAGCCCAUUGUGCCUGCUGGACAGGACCUCCUGAUGUGGAAGGGGACAGUAUGCAGGCCUUUCUAGUGGCUGCUUUGUCUUUCAACAUGGCGAGAGUUGGCCCUCACCAUUGUGAUGUGAUGUGGAGUGACAGCGGACACCCAAGCACCCGCAACUGCAAAUUUUUAUAUGAAUCCAAGUAAAACGGAGGAGAAAAACAAGAGACUUUCUAUGCAUCUGCUAAAAGGAUGAAAUGCUUCCCCCUCUCCAUCCCCUCCUUGGAGGAUGAUCUCCCUCAGUGGAGGGGUGAGCAAGCUGAUGGUGUGCAGGCUGCCAAGGAAUCCAAGCCUUAGGGUCUAAGCCAUCAGCCUGCUGGCUGCACUGGCCAUGUCCUGAGUGUAAGGGAUUCCCUCUUCCUCUUAGGGUCUAAGCCAUCAGCCUGCUGGCUGCACUGGCCAUGUCCUGAGUGUAAGGGAUUCCCUCUUCCUCUUAGGGUCUAAGCCACCAGCCUGCUGGCUGCACUGGCCAUGUCCUGAGUGUAAGGGACUCCCUCUUCCUCCUCUACUUCUGUGAGACUCAGGCUGAUUCCUUAACUAGAACUGUGACUAUGCUAGACUGCUGCAGGCCCACAGCUUAACUACAGUUGACUACUAGCCCCCUUACUAGCCAUCCCUCGCCCACCUAUUUCUGACCUAAACGACUUGGGAUUAACAAGUAAAGAGUAUUAGGAUGUAUUAGCAAAACCAGCCAAAAGGCUAAGGAUGCCAUCACAUGUCCCUGCUUUGCUGUCAUCCCCAUCUAAUGUCUCUGCCAAUACACUUUAAAAGUGCACUGAUUUAUGACUUUGUCUGUUACAAUAAAACUGCAUCAAACUGUUACAAUCCUGGAAUGUUGAAUUUAGGAUGACUUGACUCUGUGUUCCUAAGGCUAUGGUCACCCAAUUUGGCUUCAAAAUAAACGGUCCCUUUCUUAA